GUCUACGGCCAUGCUACCCUAAACAAGCCUGAUCCUGUCUGAUCUCAGAAGCUAAACAGGGUUGGGCCUGGAUAGUACUUGGAUGGGAGACCACCUAGGAACACCAGGUGUUGUAGGCC
rnacentral:rRNA from 1 species